rnacentral:rRNA from 1 species
GACGAACGCUGGCGGCGUGCUUAACACAUGCAAGUCGAACGGAAAGGCCCUGCUUUUGUGGGGUGCUCGAGUGGCGAACGGGUGAGUAACACGUGAGUAACCUGCCCUUGACUUUGGGUUAACUUCAGGAAACUGGGGCUAAUACCGGAUAGGAGCUCCUGCUGCAUGGUGGGGGUUGGAAAGUUUCGGCGGUUGGGGAUGGACUCGCGGCUUAUCAGCUUGUUGGUGGGGUAGUGGCUUACCAAGGCUUUGACGGGUAGCCGGCCUGAGAGGGUGACCGGCCACAUUGGGACUGAGAUACGGACCAGACUCCUACGUGAGGCAGCAGUGGGGAAUAUUGCACAAUGGGCGGAAGCCUGAUGCAGCAACGCCGCGUGCGUGAUGACGGCCUUCGGGUUGUAAACCGCUUUCGCCUGUGACGAAGCGUGAGUGACGGUAAUGGGUAAAGAAGCACCGGCUAACUACGUG